GACGAACGCUGGCGGCGUGCCUAAUACAUGCAAGUCGAGCGGACCUGUAGGAGCUUGCUCCUGCAGGUUAGCGGCGGACGGGUGAGUAACACGUGGGCAACCUACCUGUAAGACUGGGAUAACUUCGGGAAACCGGAGCUAAUACCGGAUGACAUAAAGGAACUCCUGUUCCUUUAUUGAAAGAUGGCUUCGGCUAUCACUUACAGAUGGGCCCGCGGCGCAUUAGCUAGUUGGUGAGGUAACGGCUCACCAAGGCGACGAUGCGUAGCCGACCUGAGAGGGUGAUCGGCCACACUGGGACUGAGACACGGCCCAGACUCCUACGGGAGGCAGCAGUAGGGAAUCUUCCGCAAUGGACGAAAGUCUGAUGGAGCAACGCCGCGUGCGGGAAGAAGGCCUUCGGGUUGUAAACCGCUUUCAGGAGGGACGAAGCCACUCGGGUUAAUAGCCCAGAGGGUGACGGUACCUCCAGAAGAAGCCCCGGCUAACUACGUGCCAGCCGCCGCGGUAACAC
rnacentral:rRNA from 1 species